GAAUUUAAUCCUGAGGGAAGGGUAGUCUACUGGAGCCUAAUGGAAGGAUCAUGGGAUGGGGUGGAAUGGGAGAAAGAGGAGGGAUACUAAACUAGGUUAGAAACCCAGGGAUUCCCAAAGAGUGGGAUUAGGAGCUUGGAAUUGGAAAAGGGUAAUAGGCAGGAGGUAGGAAUGAGUAGGUGAGAACAAAGAUCUUGAUCUGGUGACACAACACCCCGUUGGGUUUGGCAGAAAAGAUAGAUAGGGGUGGAUUAUUGGAAAUGAGGGUCAUGGCAUUUUGAUUGAAUUAAUUAAAAGAACAUCAGGGACAUGAUAUCAGAGAGAAAAUAUGGAUUUGGAGAAAAUUAAGUGAAUUAAUUUAAGAGGACAGUAUGGGUGAGCUGAGUCGCCAUAAGGCAUGGCUUCUGGAAGGAUAUGAGCCUUGAGAGCGAUAAGAGGUGUUUGGGAAGGAGAUGGCUGAUAUACACAUGUCUUUAGCCUAGGUAUCAGGUGGUUGGGAUAUUGAUUUAGGGCUUCUGGUGGAUAUGGCACCCAGACUGGUGACCAGCCUCCAAGAUGCUGGGAUGGGGGUUGGGAAGGAGAAAAAUAGAACACUUUCAUCGCUUCUCUGAUUUUCCUGCUCCCUCUCUUAUAUUUCCCAAACUCUUCCGAAACACCGGGAUGUGGGCUUGGGACUUAAGCAGUCCAAGUUGGAGCCCCAUAGGGACUUAUAUGUUGCUCUGAAUUGCUUGUUAUGUUCUCUGACUGGGGUGUUUACAACCCAGGGCACCUCCUACCCAGAGUCCCGCGUUGCUACUUUCCUAACUUUAAAAGUUUGUUUUCUGCUUAACAGAGGGUGUUUUAGUAUCUCUGAGGGUCAUGUCAUAUUAAGUACAGGUGUGUAGGGGGUGUGCAGAGUUUUCUCAGCAAGCUCACAUGAGUCCUGUGUUUAAAAAUUUUGCAGUAGUGUAAUUCUUGUGGAGAUAUCAGUCUUUAUGGGCAUUCCAUGCAGAAAUAUACUAAAAUGAAGUUUGUUUUGUUAAAUGUGGCUUCCCCAGUCAUUCUCGAAGAGUUGUCGAAUGGGUGGUUGCAGUUUGUUUUAGUUAACUUAUAUAAUGUGUUUUUAAAUAGUGUAAAUAAAAUAGACAUGUUAUUUCAGGAAAGUGAAAAAUGUUCAGUUUUUUCCUUUGUGUCCAGACUCAGAAACUAAAGCUAUGUCAUAAUAUCUUAGGCCAAGGGCUGGGGAAAUCAAAAACAAUUUGUACUUACACAUGGAAGUUGUAAGCUCCGCUCUGCUAUAUGAAAUAUGGGAGACGACAGACCGUUUGUGUGCAAUGCCCCGGGCUGUGGACAGAGAUUUACAAACGAGGACCACCUGGCAGUUCAUAAACACAAGCAUGAGAUGACAUUGAAAUUUGGCCCAGCCCGAACUGACUCAGUCAUCAUUGCAGAUCAAACUCCUACUCCAACUAGAUUCCUGAAGAACUGUGAGGAGGUGGGACUCUUCAAUGAACUAGCUAGCUCCUUUGAACAUGAAUUCAAGAAAGCUGCAGAUGAGGAUGAGAAAAAGGCUGCUGCUGGGCCCCUUGACAUGUCUCUACCUUCCACACCAGACAUCAAAAUCAAAGAAGAAGAGCCAGUGGAGGUAGACUCAUCCCCACCUGAUAGCCCUGCCUCUAGUCCCUGUUCGCCACCACUGAAGGAGAAGGAGGUUACCCCAAAGCCUGUUCUGAUCUCUACCCCCACACCUACCAUUGUACGUCCUGGCUCCCUGCCUCUCCACUUGGGCUAUGAUCCACUUCAUCCAACCCUUCCCUCUCCAACCUCUGUCAUCACACAGGCUCCACCAUCCAACAGGCAAGUGGGGUCUCCCACUGGCUCCCUCCCUCUUGUCAUGCAUCUUGCUAAUGGACAGACCAUGCCUGUGUUGCCAGGGCCUCCAGUACAGAUGCCGUCUGUUAUAUCGCUGGCCAGACCUGUGUCCAUGGUGCCCAACAUUCCUGGUAUCCCUGGCCCACCAGUUAACAGCAGUGGCUCCAUUUCUCCCUCUGGCCACCCUAUUCCAUCAGAAGCCAAGAUGAGACUGAAAGCCACCCUAACUCACCAAGUCUCCUCAAUCAAUGGUGGUUGUGGAAUGGUGGUGGGUACUGCCAGCACCAUGGUGACAGCCCGCCCAGAGCAGAGCCAGAUCCUCAUCCAGCACCCUGAUGCCCCAUCCCCUGCCCAGCCACAGGUCUCACCAGCCCAGCCCACCCCUAGUACUGGGGGGCGACGGCGGCGCACAGUAGAUGAAGAUCCAGAUGAGCGACGGCAGCGCUUUCUGGAGCGCAACCGGGCUGCAGCCUCCCGCUGCCGCCAAAAGCGAAAGCUGUGGGUGUCCUCCCUAGAGAAGAAGGCCGAAGAACUCACUUCUCAGAACAUUCAGCUGAGUAAUGAAGUCACAUUACUACGCAAUGAGGUGGCCCAGUUGAAACAGCUACUGUUAGCUCAUAAAGACUGCCCAGUCACUGCACUACAGAAAAAGACUCAAGGCUAUUUAGAAAGCCCCAAGGAAAGCUCAGAGCCAACGGGUUCUCCAGCCCCUGUGAUUCAGCACAGCUCAGCAACAGCCCCUAGCAAUGGCCUCAGUGUUCGCUCUGCAGCUGAAGCUGUGGCCACCUCGGUCCUCACUCAGAUGGCCAGCCAAAGGACAGAACUGAGCAUGCCGAUACAAUCGCAUGUAAUCAUGACCCCACAGUCCCAGUCUGCGGGCAGAUGAUGCCUCCUCUGGUGGAGAGGUCCUCAGCCAGAGCUUGCCCGCCCAAGAGCCAAGAGAGAUGUCAUCUUAUCCCCUCCCAUCUGCCUUGGACAUGGCAAUAUGGGUGGGGGGGAACUGUGUGUUGUGAGUAAUGGACAGAUAUGGGGCUUUUUAGCCAUACGGUCUUGUACGUUUGACACCUGUGCUGGGGGCCUCCCAGCCCCAGAGCCUCAUAGAUCAUCCCCCAGGAUGGGGUUUCUGAUGCACCCACAGCCAAAGGCCUUUCCAGAUGGUCCGAACAAUCACCCCUGCCCCAUGCACAUGUAUCUGUCUCUUUUAACACUAACCCGUGGCACUUCUAGGUUUGGGGUUUCUCAGUUCCCUCUCUUCCCACUAAGCCAUGGCUGUUACCUUUUUGUUCCUUACCAGCAUGCCACUUCCUGCCAGAUAGAGGGAGGCUAGAUUUGAUGGCAUAUCACCCGCUGACCCAGCCCCAGCCACCCCAUGGACUCAGGACUCUGUCUCCCAUAGCUGCUUAUUUACCCGUUUCCUUUUUCCUCUUCCUUAAUUCUAGUUAAAACAUUCACUUACGGAGAAUGUAAGGCUACCUUUGAUGUAUGAAGUAGCAGUAUUUUCCAGUUUUUCCAUAAGCUUUAUUCCUUCUCCCUACCUGCCACCAAAAAAAAAGCAAAAAGAAACCCUCAAGAGUUCUAAUUCUUUUUCAUCUAUUUGCAGAGCUAUUUGGGUACCUCAUUUUGUCCCUUGACUUUAUCUAGUGUAGUGGUGGGGUCUUUCCCACCACCCCACUAAGCCUUGGCAACCUCAUUUUGUGGCCUUAUUAUUAAAAAUUGCUUGGUAGUGAAAAGGGAAGGGCCCAGAAUCUGACUGGCUGAUUCUGUCUCCUCCCCUCCCUCCUUCUGUAGUUUUAAUCAUCAGGGCAGACAGGAACAAAGUAUUUCAAAGCUUGUUCCAUCAAGUUAGGGAUUAAUUGAUUCCUUUAUGUUUUAUAAGAGUUUACUGGCCAAAGCAUACAUAUUGUCAUCUUAGGUCAUUUUUCUGUUCCUACUUCUCCCUCUUCAUUCCCCUGUCAACAUUACCACCCCUGUCUCUCUUCUGUAACUACUUCAGACGCAGCCCACCUGGAGGCUGUCAUGUAGGGGACCCUCGAGUUCCUUUGCUCUACCCCAUCUCUCCCCCUCACACGUCUGUCUGCUUUUCUGAGCUGAGUCUUCUGUUCACAAGUGCCCAUCACCGUCUGGACUAUCUUCUUUCUCUUUCAACAGAUUCCUAGCUUAGCCACUAGGUCUUCCAGGUCCUCCAGAGUUUCUUCAACCCAUUUCUGCUCACUUCUUCUUACAUGCAGUGCUCCAGGAUCUUGAAGCGUCGUAAGAUUGAAAGGAGGGAGGAAGGGGAGAGGGAAAGUGCAGAACUGGUCCCAGCAAAGGACCCCAGGUUCUGGCCUGGGAAAUUGGUGACUAUUGCUCUCAACCAUUCUUACUUUGAAGAGUUGGGUUGCAGAGGGAGCAAUUCAUCUCUCUUGUCCCUCUCUCUUCCAUGUUAAGGCUUCUCAUCUCCCCUUGGCUCUGAACUAUGCAGUUUCUAUCAGGACCAUAGGAAGCAAUUCAGAGCCAGAGGCCUGUGGAUAGAUAGGUCAGCUUUAAUUGCCUUGCCGUAUGAAACUCUUCCAGUUGUCCCAGAGCCACUUUCUGCCAUCUGUGCAAGCCAAGAAUGUCCUUCUCUCCAUCUUUCCUACCUCCAUCUUAAACAUACAUACAAAAUAACUGCCAGCUUCCUUUCUUAUUUUGUCUCCAAAAUUGACUGUCACAGGGGAAUGAGAAAAUGUUCUAAGCUACAAGAUUCCCAUUUCCUUAAAGUGAUAUCCUGUCCUAGUGAACCAGUCAAGUAACAGAUUCUGCUGCAUUUGUUUUAAAUUUCCCCUCCUGCUUUUCAGAGCUUGUGCUGAACAGGCCACACCCCUAAAGACAAAGGAGAGAAAACAUGGUUUUCUUAUCCUCUACCACCAGGUACCCAACAGGAAUAGGCCCUGAAGUGAUUCAGACUAGCAAAUGUUAUGGCAGAUGGUCAGGAUGCAGGUUACCACAUCCAGGGACUUCACUUUUGCCUUUAAAAAUCACAGCCAUAACUUGUGCUCAGGACUUCCGCUUUAGCUGGCUGCUCCCUGGGAUUUUCUCCUGCUUUAGAGUUUUGUUUCAUUUUUUAUUGUCUUGAUUUCCCAGUAGCAGCCUUGCCCUAAAGCUUGACUGAGUUUAUGGCUCCUAAGGAGCUUUCCUAAGACUCUUGACUAUUUUUCUUCCCCCUUCAGUCAAGUGUUUUUACAGUUAAGAAUUAAUUUGUCACUGCAUACGUACCCUGCCAGUCUGUCCCUGUGUUGGGUGGCUAAUUUAUGUAGAGGGUCUUUUUUGUUUCUUAGCCCCCAUGACUAAUUAUCUAGUCCUAACUUCAUUUUUAUCAGUGGGAAGAUGUAUGUGGGACCUCAAUGAGGAGCACUGCCAGAACCACAGUAACAAAAUGGCACUGAAAUAAGGAAGCAGCAGGUCAGAACCCCCUAGAUAGUUCCUGAGUUGGUUCUCAGUCUCAUUAAGGAGGCAGAAUAAUUGCUUACCCUGAAACUUCUCUGAUAGUCAAAGGUAAUUUCACUUACCUUGUUAUUGCUAACAGCCAUGUGGUCACUCUCCCCCAAUCUUUGUCUUCCAGAUCCAUCUGGACCAGAACCAAACAUCAUGGAAGGUGUCACUUGGCCCUUCCUAAAGUCCAUGGCCUUUCUAGAGGCCUAAGGGAGGACACUUUCAGAAAGGAGCUGAGUGUAUGGCAAAUCUGAGUAGCCUCCAAGAGGCACACAAGCAGAGGAUGGGCUGUGUUGCCCUGACUGCCGGCCCCAGG